GGCUAUGGAAACACAUCUCUCUAUACAAACAUAUGACAAGGUCUACUGAAGGAUGCCUGAUAUCAGUGGGUGGGAGCUGCCCUAGUGCAUGAGAUGUCUGCAGAAGGAAACAAUUUUGAAAGUUUCAAAGAAUAUGGAGAUGAAAACUUUAAAGAAGACUUCUUGUUCAGGGAAAUUAUUAUUCUGAAGACAAAUAGCAAAUAGGCUUUCCAAAUAUGGGGUUUGCUUGUGCAUUACAGAGCACAGCUGUUGUACACAAGACAAGAAAGACUGUGUCCUUGACACAGAGAAAACAGUUACAUAUGGAUCAAUAAGUCUGGCUUUCCCAUGGAAAUAUGUUGGUGUUCUGCUUUCUGGAUUCUCCAUUGGCCUGGUGCAGAAGGCAGAUCCAUUGAUCAAUCCAUUAAUAUCAUAAUUCUGACAGAUCAUUUCUCAGGUUUAAUUAUCUUUCAUGUAGUUUGUCACACUCAUGAAGACAUCAAACAGGUUUGCCAAGAACUUUUUGUUAUUUCCCAUUUUUGCUGAUUGGGAAUUGAAAACUUCCCUUUACAGGGCAUUGACAGCAAGUCAUGUCACUGGUCUACUGCCCCAGAAAUUAAAUAAAUAUGUAUCCCUAUUUUCAUAAAAGUAGAGGAAUAAAAAGAUUUCCUUUCAUCUUAACACAGUCACCUCUGGAAUAAUUUACUUAAAAUAGAUAGUUCCCUAUUAAUAGUGGACGAUUACUGCUGUUAACUCCCUGAGUAUCAGACCCUAAUUCCCAGACAAGCCCUAGUCAAAAUAAUAGACAAAAUAAUAAAAGAUUUUAGUGUCUUUCCUAUCUCUCAUUGCAAUCAAACUUUACAGAAUUAGAAUUACCAACUAUACCCUUAAGAUUACUUGCUUCAGUUAUUGUAAAUAAAGCCCAAAGUUUCCUUGAAAAAAAUUAUAAAUUUGAAAAUGAGUUCCUUGUGCUGUCCUAUUGACACUUGUGCACAAGGCCGUGAGGUCUUUUUAUAAUUAUUUACAAUGAAAUUACUCACAUAUUUUCACUUGUUUGUAUCAGAAAUUCACAUUAACUAGUAAACCUUGCAAUUCAUCAAGAAAAAAUUACUGAAUAAAUCUGGGAUAACUCAUGAAAAUUUUUCCAACACGACUCAAAUUUGAAUUUGCAUGCCAUUUGCUGACAUCAAGAUACCCUGCAAUAUGCUGGGCAAAAAAUAACUCCUUAAUAUACUAUCUAGGAGCAAGGAAUGGAUUCUAAAUUGUAUUUUGACUCUCAAGUUUCGUGUAAAUCAAUUCUCUAAACAUUUUGUGUAUUUCAGCUUCCAUGAGCAGUGAAAUUAUAUUUUUUGGACUUGUUAUAAUCACACAAAAUGGUUUAUCAGUGAAGGUGCUAAAAUGCAUGAAACUUUUGUUUGCUAAAAAUCGAGUAUUCUAGGGGAUGAAUUUGCAUGAAAUUACAAAUAACACGAAAGGACAUAGUUCACUUUUGGUGACAAUUAGACUCUAACCUUGCCGUUCAAGAAAACAAGCUCUAUCACCACACAUUUUGCAUGGCGAUAGAGGGAACAGCACUGUUUGCAAACAAAGGUAGUUUCAAAGGUAUGGCUGUCAUAGCACUUUCUUUUAGCCUUUGCACACAUUGCACAAAGAUUGAAAAAACCUUUCACUGUAGCAUUUUCUCGUAGAUCUUUGGUCGGGUUGCAGGGAAUAGAAAAUGGCUCAAUAUCAAUAUCUGUUAAAACUAACGACCACUGAAGGACAUUUGCCUUGUCAUCUAAACUUUCAUGGCCGGUAGUUUCAUUUUCAUCCUCUUCCUCAUAGACAAAAAGCUUCAGAUCAGAAUUGUUUUCUAUUUCUGGAGUGGCAAGGACUUUUGUUUGCAUUACUCACAGCAGAUACCUGCCCUCACCCUCUUUCAGAAAUUUUGAAUUCACUGUUGUCUAUUUCUUUUUUGCUGACUUGAAUAAAGCAGAAAAUUCUCAAUUUAGAAAUGACGUUUCGUGUAUUCUUCCAUGUCAUUGGUUUCUUGAGGAACCUAGUUUCUGUAGAGUAAGGUUCAGAUUGCAAACCAAAUCUGAUUGGUUGACACGGUAACUUAUUUCCCAAUGAUCUCUUUAAAAGUGUGUAUAAGAUUUGAAUGUUUCAUUUAGGAACUGAGAUACCUAAACCAUCAGACAAAUUUUAAAAUGUUCACUAUUUUACAUUGGAGUAAACUUGUCCUGUUUAUCUCUUGAAAGCUACAAGGGAAUGUUUUCAUAAAAACUUUAUCAUCACUCCCUAAAAUGGUUUUUCAGGCACAAAAAUUCAUAAUUAGGUACCUGGGUAUGUAAUUAAAUAAGUGUGGGUAUGACAUUGAAUAGGUAUUUUACAUUUGGUACAUUUUUAAAUGGAGAUAUGUUGCUAGCCUAAGAGAGA